CAAAAAGUAGUUUAGUGUUAGAAUUCUGGCUUUGGGAGCCAGGGGUGGGAGUUAAAUUCUCCCCUUUUUGA
rnacentral:tRNA from 1 species